rnacentral:rRNA from 1 species
GGCGUAAGCGCGCGCAGGCGGUUCUUUAAGUCUGAUGUGAAAGCCCCAGGCUCAACCUCGGAUCGGCAUUGGAAACUGGGGGACUUGAGUGCGGAAAAGGGAGGUGGAAUUCCCUGUGUAGCGGUGAAUUGCGUAAAUAUUUGAAGGAACACCAGUGGCGAAGGCAACCUCCUGGUCUGAUACUGACCCUGAGGUGCGAAAGCGUGGGGAGCAAACAGGAUUAAAUACCCUGGUAGUCCACGCCGUAAACAAUGACGGCUAGCCGUUGGGGUCUUUCCGCCCUUGAUGGCUGAGCUAACCCAUUAAGUUGUCCGCCUGGGGAGUACGGGCCCAAGGAUUAAACUCCAAUGAAUUGACGGGGGCCCCCACAAGCCGUGGAACAUGUGGUUUAAUUCCAAACAACCCGAAAAACCUUACCAGGGCUUGACAUGCCGGUGACCUUCCGUAAAUGUAUUGUUUCCUUCUGGACCUCUGACACAAGUGGUGCAUGGUUGUCGUCAGCUCGUGUCGUGAGAUGUUGGGUUAAGUCCCGCAACGAGCGCAACCCUUG